UACGUAGGUGGCGAGCGUUGUCCGGAAUUAUUGGGCGUAAAGGGCGCGUAGGCGGGAUAAUAAGUCUGUAGUGAAACUGCGGGGCUCAACUCCGUAUUGCAAUGGAAACUGUUAUUCUUGAGUGCAGGAGAGGAAAGUGGAAUUCCCAGUGUAGCGGUGAAAUGCGUAGAUAUUGGGAGGAACACCAGUGGCGAAGGCGACUUUCUGGACUGUGUCUGACGCUGAGGCGCGAAAGCUAGGGUAGCGAACG
rnacentral:rRNA from 1 species